rnacentral:rRNA from 1 species
UAGAUACCCUAUUAUUUUAGGCUUAAAUUUUAAUUUACCUGAAUAUUAAUAGUUAUUUUCUUUAAACUCUAAGAAUUUGGCGGUAAUAUAUUUUUUUAGAGGAACCUGUUUUUUAAUCGAUGAACCACGAUAUUUUCUACCUUUUAAUUUGUUUGUAUACCUCUAUUUAGAAUGUUUUUUUAGGAUAUUUUCUUUUACUUUAUCAAGUUUUAUUUUAGGUCAAGGUGCAGUUUUUUUAAGGUAAACAUGGGUUAUUUUUUUGAUAUAUAACUAUUUUUAGUUGUAUUGAAUUUGGAUUUAACAGUAAAUUUAAUUAAUUAAUUAUUUUGAAUAAUUUUUCUAUAUUAUGUACAUAUCGCCCGUCACUCUCAUAAUAAAUGGGAUAAGUCUAA